rnacentral:rRNA from 1 species
AUUGAACGCUGGCGGCAGGCCUAACACAUGCAAGUCGAAUGGUAACAGGAAACAGCUUGCUGUUUCGCUGACGAGUGGCGGACGGGUGAGUAAUGUCUGGGAAACUGCCUGAUGGAGGGGGAUAACUACUGGAACCGGUAGCUAAUACCGCAUAACGUCGCAAGACCAAAGAGGGGGACCUUCGGGCCUCUUGCCAUCAGAUGUGCCCAGAUGGGAUUAGCUAGUAGGUGGGGUAACGGCUCACCUAGGCGACGAUGCCUAGCUGGUCUGAGAGGAUGACCGGCCACACUGGAACUGAGACACGGUCCAGACUCCUACGGGAGGCAGCAGUGGGGAAUAUUGCACAAUGGGCGCAAGCCUGAUGCAGCCAUGCCGCGUGUAUGAAGAAGGCCUUCGGGUUGUAAAGUACUUUCAGCGGGGAGGAAGGGAGUAAAGUUAAUACCUUUGCUCAUUGACGUUACCCGCAGAAGAAGCACCGGCUAACUCCGUG